GUAAAAUCCACACUGAUCCCGAAGCAGCUGCCGCCGGCGCCCUCAGGGAAGGGGUGAGCCACCUACAGGAUCGACUGAGGAUCAGAUUCAAAACCGUGUUGCUCCUUAUCCAGCUGAUAAUUUAAGCACAGGCAGCCUGAAGACACAGGGAAAGGUCAGGUGGUUGGGUAGAUCUGUGCCCGGUUCCGUCAGCCGAAAGCUGAGCCAGCUUUUGAUCUGCAAGGAACGACCACGCAUGCGUGGGUUUGUUUCCGGGCUCCCUACUCUCUUCCAUUCGUCUUUAUAGGUCUGUGCAGACUUUAAUAAAAUGAGAAAUGAAAGAGGAGACACUACCACUGAUGGCUCAGAAAGAAAAAUGAUCCUAAGAGACCAACAUGGAAGUUACAUGCCAGCAAACUAGAUAGCCCAGAGGAAAAGGAUACAUUCCACAAACAAACCUACCAAAACUAAAUGCUGAAGAGACAGCAUACCGCUCACAAAGACGCAUCACCAACGGCAGUGCUGUGGGGGCCGGGAGAGCUAACAGUCCACUUUAAUGUUCUAGGAAAUGCAACCGUAAGACUUAGUGGCACAUACCUUGUUCUGAGGAACAAGGUUCUUGUUCUGAGGUUUUUUGGGGGGAGGGACUUGAGACCUCAAAUUGGUAAAGAAGCAGCAUUUGAAUAAAACGAAGUGUUUUGGUUUGAUUAUGCUUCCUCCUUCGUUGCGUCUCCUCAUUUGGAUUGUCAUCAUUGAGCACUUCGAGUGGAAUGUGCGAGAAGGAAGAAAUGAAGGCUUCUACCUGCCCAGGAUCAGGGGAAGCGUUUGGUGAUAAGUUCUCCCAAACAGGCAUGUUCACACGCCUGCUACGGGCAAAUGAACCUUCAGGAGCUUUAAAGACAGACACAGAAGCAUGUGCACGGUUCCAGGCCCGGAGUGAACUCGGUCGCUGCGCAUUUCCCAAUAACGCAAACACAGCGAUGCCAGGUGCCCACCGUGUGCGGGAGGGUUGAACUCAGUGUGCUGGCUGGCAGGGCUCGACGUGCGCGUGUGUACAAGUCAGCUGAGGCUCGUGGUGGCACCCUGCCCUCUGACAAACCAGCGGGUUCCUCUUCUGGCCGAGAGAAUUCGCUUGAGUUCCAAGAAAAGCUCCAAGUGCAAGGUACGCUGAUCGCCAGGGUACCGUUGUGAUAUUUCCUUUCCGAAGUGCCCUCCUGUACGUGACCUGAUUGCACCCUCACUGCAGCCCUUCGAGGCAGAUGCCGAUCUGCCCAUUUUACAGACCACGAGACUGAGGCCUGUGGAGGUUCCGUGAGGCGCCCGGGGCCUCUCAGGGAAGACCAGGGAUUCCACACGGCCGUUCUGGCUGGAGUAAAA
rnacentral:lncRNA from 1 species